rnacentral:rRNA from 1 species
UAAGGAAUAUUGGACAAUGGGCGCAAGCCUGAUCCAGCCAUGCCGCGUGCAGGAUGAAAGUGCUAUGCACUGUAAACUGCUUUUGUUUGGGAAAAAACCCCUGGUUUCUACCGGGGCUGAUUGUACCAAAAGAAUAAGGGACGGCUAACUUCGUGCCAGCAGCCGCGGUAAUACGAAGGUCCCAAGCGUUAUCCGGAUUUAUUGGGUUUAAAGGGUGCGUAGGCGGGCUAUUAAGUCAGUGGUGAAAGCCCCAAGCUUAACUUGGGAACUGCCAUUGAUACUGAUGGUCUUGAGUACAUUUGAGGUGGGCGGAAUGUGUCAUGUAGCGGUGAAAUGCUUAGAUAUGACACAGAACACCGAUUGCGAAGGCAGCUCACUAAACUGUAACUGACGCUGAGGCACGAAAGCGUGGGGAGCAAACAGGAUUAGAUACCCUGGUAGUCCACGCCCUAAACGAUGAUCACUCGAUGUGUGCGAUAU